ensembl:lncRNA
CACGAGACAUCUUUAGAGCUACCUUCAAGCAUGGAAAAAGCAGGACAAAGCUGCUCACUGCACCGACUACUUUCUAAUGGAGGAACCGUGCUGCAGACCACUUGUAUUCCCACGGCGUCCCUUCCAUGCCUGUUGUAAUGUUAAAAAGGCACAGAAUCUAUUGCUCUUGUUAGAGUGUUGCAGCCGAGGGGGAAUGACUGUCAGAACAGCGACCACAUUACCUUUGAAUCCUAGAAUGGCCUGGGUUGAAGAGGACCACAAUGCUCAUCCAGUUCCAACCCCCUGCUCUGUGCAGGGUCGCCAGCCACCAGACCAGGCUGCCCAGAGCCACAUCCAGCCUGGCCUUGAAUGCCUGCAGGGAUGGGGCAUCCACAGCCUCCUUGGGCAACCUGUUCCAGUGCAUCACCACCCUACAGACUGUCUUCUGGCUGGCGUGACUUCUGGCUUUUGGUAUCAAUUCCUACUCUGCGGCUUUGUAGGAGGAAGG